AUAGCAAAUACAGAAAUGAGAGUGGACAUGGAAAAUUUCAAAGGAGAAAAGAGGUAUGCAAAAUACUCAACAUUCAAGGUUGGAGAUGCUGGGUCGAAAUAUAAACUGACAAUUGGUGGAUUUUCGGGAAAUGCUGGCGAUGCAUUUCCACAUCACAAUGGAAUGAAGUUCACAACACCUGACCAAGACAAUGAUCUUGCGAAUUUCAAUUGUGCGGUACACUUUAGCAGAGUUGGUGGUGGGUGGUGGUUCGGUAAAUGUGACAACGUCUGCUUCACAUUUUCAUAUGCAAACAACAAGAAAGGUCUGACUGGAGAAAAUCUUAUACAGUGGGCAUAUUGGAAAGGUUCCGAAUAUUCUCUGAAAUAUGCUGCCAUGAUGAUUCGAAGAGGUUAAUUUAUUGAUGAGAAAAAUAAAUAUUGAAUCCUU